rnacentral:rRNA from 1 species
AACCAAUAAACUUAGUUAUAUAUUUUUGGUAAAAAGACAGUUAUACAAGUAUAAAAGUUCAUUAAUUAUUUAUAUAAAGGUAAAAUUUAGUAUAAAUAUAAUAACACAUAAAUAGCUUUAUGUUGAGGCUGUGACAUCUUUGGGGGAAACUGGGAUUGGAUACCCCAUUAUUCUUAGAUAUAAAUAAAUAUAUUUACCAGAGUAUUACGAACAAUAGUUUAAAACUCAAAGAGCUUGGCGGUAUUUUAGACCAUUUAGGGGAACCUGUCUCAUAAUCGAUAAUCCACGUUAAACCUUACCUUUUUUAGUACUCAAUUUGUAUACCGUUGUCUUUAAGGUAACUUUUAAAGAAUAUUGAAGUUAGCUAGUAAAUAAAUAUAUUUAAAUGUCAAAUCAAGGUGCAGUUAAUAAAAAGGCGAAGAUGGGUUACAAUUAUAUAAAUUAUAAUACGAAAAGUGUAUUGAAAUAAGCUCAAAGGAGGACUUAAAAGUAAGUGUAUAUUAUAAAAAUAACUUGAACAAGGCUCUAAAAUGUGC